CUCGGCCCCGCGGUCGCCGCGCCCGCAGUCUGGAGGCGCACCGGAGCGGCCGGGGCGCCCCCCACGGGAGCCCGCAGCCACCCGCGGCGCGCAUCCAGCUGCGGCUCCUCCGGCCGGGCACGCUGCGCCCUGGGGCUCCGCGGACCCUGCGUCGCUAGCCGCUUCGGAGCUUCUGCUGCGCGGGAUGGCCGGCGGGGCGGCGAGGGCCCAGCCCGCCUCCCCUGCGCCCGCCCCGGCUUCUCCCCCUGGCGGUGGAGCCUCGGCGGCCGCCGGCAACACUAGGCGCGCUGGAGCCCGAGCCGAGCCGAGCCCGAGCCGCUGCCGCCGCCGCGCGCCACGCGUAGGCUCCCUCCCAGCGCGCCGGCUGGGGUGUUGAGGGGCGGCGGGCAGGAGGGACGAGGGCGGGCGAGGGGCGCGUGCAGGGAUUGGCGCCGAAGACCGGACCCUCAGCCGCGAGGGGAGCGUUGCACCCCAACUGAAGAGCACGUGGUGGAAGGAGGAGAAGUGGACCCCUGGCAGACCCCCACGCCGUGCCCCUGCCCGUUUGUUUACUGUUUAUCCUCUCUUCGGCCACUGUACUUCUUUUCUACUCGCUGGAAAAAGACGCCUAAGCUGAGGUCCAAUUUCUCCAAAAAGCUGGAAGCAAAGAGGGCCAGGGAUGAGGGCCAAGGGAACGGUUCCCACAGGGGACUGAAACUCCAGAAACCUGCAAGAUCAGGGGUGACUGGAAGUUCAGGACCCCAGCUAAGGCGAAACCGAAAUUCCACUUUGCCCCUGCCCUCUUGCCAGCCUGCCCACCAACUCGAAGGAAGCUAACAGGUCUUUUGUUUUUACGUUGUGUGGUCUUUGGAAAAUCUUCGUUGAGUAUGAGAACAAAAAAUUACUACUGUUUACUCAAGGGAUUGCAGAAAGAAAAGUCUUUACUUUUUCCUCUUCGUGUGUGAGUGUGUGUGUGUGUGUGUGUGUGUGUGUAGUUGUUAGGUUCAUGGCUUGAACUGCAAAACGUCAGUUGUAACAAUAAGGAUUGCAGGGCCGCCUCGGUGUAUUUUUAGAAGCUGCACUUUCUUGAGUUCUUUUCACACAAGGCUUGCUCUCUCAUUAAGUCCCCAUAAAUAAUUGUAUUUAGAGAGAAGGAAACUAUGGAAGCAGGAGGGAGGUUGCUAAGAUCUCCAUCCCGCCAGCCUGGAGCACAGUUUGCAGUGAAGUUCCUGGAAAGUGACUGUGGCUGAGAAAUGUUUUUCCUAAAUGCUCUGUUAGGUCCUCUCUGUCAAAUGUCUAUGAAUAAAGCACACUGGGAAAAUCCUGA